rnacentral:rRNA from 2 species
GGACCAAGGAGUCUAGCAUGUGCGCAAGUCGUUGGGAUUUUAUUAAACCUAAAGGCGUAAUGAAAGUAAAUAUUUAUGAAUUUUCGUAAUUCAUUAAUUAAGGGAAGAUGGGUAACGAUUUAUAUGUUACCUCGCAUUCCCGGGGCGUCGCAUACUCAUUGCGAGUUGCGGCGCACCAAGAGCGUACACGCUGGGACCC